AACGAACGCUGGCGGCGUGCCUAACACAUGCAAGUCGAGCGCGAAAAGGGCAACCUGAGUAGAGCGGCGCACGGGUGCGUAACACGUGGGUAAUCUGCCUUUGGGUUGAGGAUAACCUUCCGAAAGGUUGGCUAAUACUCGGUAAGCUUACGGGAACUUUGGUUUCUGUGAGAAAAGUAGACCUCUAUUUAUAAGUUUACGCCCAGAGAUGAGCCCGCGGCCCAUCAGCUAGUUGGCGGGGUAACGGCCCACCAAGGCAACGACGGGUAGCUGGUCUGAGAGGACGAUCAGCCACACUGGAACUGAGACACGGUCCAGACUCCUACGGGAGGCAGCAGUGGGGAAUUUUCCACAAUGGGCGAAAGCCUGAUGGAGCAACGCCGCGUGUGUGAUGAAGGUCUUCGGAUCGUAAAGCACUUUCGACCGGGACGAAAAACCUUUGGCUAACAUCCAGGGGCCUGACGGUACCGGGAGAAGAAGCACCGGCUAACUCUGUGCCAGCCGCCGCAGUAAGAC
rnacentral:rRNA from 1 species